GGGCUCUGAGCUCAGUUGGUAGAGCAGCGGACUCUUAAUCCGUAGGUCGAGUGUUCGAGUCACUCAGGGCCCACCA
rnacentral:tRNA from 1 species